UGUGACGUUAUAUUUAUGAGUUUUGGGGUAUUUUUUCGUUUGAAAACGUUGCUUUUAUCGAGUUAAACUUAACUAACUUAAGCUUAAAUGUGUUUUUGUUUUUGCUACUUAAUUUGCAAAAAAUAAAAAUAUUUUGCUUCUUGAAAUCUAGAGAAAGUGAAUAGACAAGUUGUUGGGAACUAAAACAAUUAGAUAAUAACUUUUGCCAGGGUUUUACACUGAUUUUGUGAGUAAAUUGUUGAAAAAACGCAAGUGUUUUAAGGUAGCUUAUCGGGGCGUUGAAUUCAGGUUUCUCACAGUUGAAUUCCACUUGAAAUACCCUCUCAUCCGGUUGACGUGUUGACCAAUCAACGCACGACUUUAAAAUUGAGGUAUGAGAUUCUA